rnacentral:rRNA from 1 species
UACAGAGGGUGCGAGCGUUAAUCGGACUUACUGGGCGUAAAGCGCACGUAGGUGGCGACGUAAGUCGGGUGUGAAAGCCCCGGGCUCAACCUGGGAAUCGCAUUCGAGACUGCAUUGCUGGAGUACGGAAGAGGAGGGCGGAAUUCCCGGUGUAGCGGUGAAAUGCGUAGAUAUCGGGAGGAACAUCAGUGGCGAAGGCGGCCCUCUGGUCCAGUACUGACACUCAAGUGCGAAAGCGUGUGGAGCAAACAGG